rnacentral:ncRNA from 2 species
CCCCUGACUGCGGGAGAGACUGGUCCAGCGCCAGCGCCGAAGGAGCAACCGCCCCGGAAACUCUCAGGCAUCAAGGACCGCAGUCGGGUC